rnacentral:rRNA from 1 species
UACAGAGGGGGCUAGCGUUGUUCGGAAUUACUGGGCGUAAAGGGCGCGUAGGCGGCCCUCUAAGUCGAACGUGAAAUCCCCGGGCUCAACCCGGGAACUGCGUCCGAUACUGGAGGGCUCGAAUCCGGGAGAGGGAUGUGGAAUUCCAGGUGUAGCGGUGAAAUGCGUAGAGAUCGGGAGGAACACCAGAGGCGAAAGCGGCGACCUGGACAGGUACUGACACUCAACUACGAAAGCGUGGGGAGCAAACAGG